rnacentral:rRNA from 1 species
CCUACGGGUGGCAGCAGUAGGGAAUAUUGGACAAUGGGCGAAAGCCUGAUCCAGCAAUGCCGCGUGAGUGAUGAAGGCCUUAGGGUUGUAAAGCUCUUUUACCCGGGAAGAUAGUGACUGUACCGGGAGAAUAAGCCCCGGCUAACUCCGUGCCAGCAGCCGCGGUAAUACGGAGGGGGCUAGCGUUGUUCGGAAUUACUGGGCGUAAAGCGCACGUAGGCGGCUUUGUAAGUCAGGGGUGAAAGCCUGGAGCUCAACUCCAGAACUGCCUUUGA